GGCUGAAACUCGCCUCCAUGAAGUUGGAUUCGCUAGUAAUCGCGCAUCAGCCAUGGCGCGGUGAAUACGUUCCCGGGCCUUGUACACACCGCCCGUCAAGCCAUGGGAGUUGGGGGUGCCUGAAGUACGUGACCGCAAGGAGCGUCCUAGGGCAAAACCGAUGACUGGGGCUAAGUCGUAACAAGGUACC
rnacentral:rRNA from 1 species